CCUACGGGAGGCAGCAGUGAGGAAUAUUGGUCAAUGGGCGCAAGCCUGAACCAGCCAAGUCGCGUGAGGGAUGACGGUCCUAUGGAUUGUAAACCUCUUUUGUCAAGGGACAAAAUCAGGCUCGAGAGCCUGACCGAGGGUACUUGAAGAAAAAGCAUCGGCUAACUCCGUGCCAGCAGCCGCGGUAAUACGGAGGAUGCGAGCGUUAUCCGGAUUUAUUGGGUUUAAAGGGUGCGUAGGCGGUCGGUUAAGGCAGCGGUAAAAGCCCGGGGCUCAACCCCGGCCAGCCGUUGAAACUGGCUGUCUUGAGAUGUCGAGAGGUAUGCGGAAUGCGCAGUGUAGCGGUGAAAUGCUUAGAUAUUGCGCAGAACUCCGAUUGCGAAGGCAGCAUACCGGCGGCGAUCUGACGCUGAGGCACGAAAGCGUGGGUAUCGAACAGGAUUAGAUACCCGAGUAGUC
rnacentral:rRNA from 1 species